rnacentral:misc_RNA from 1 species
CUUGCCUGGCCGGCCUGUAUAGUAACAAUUAAGAUUUGUUUGGGGACAGUUGGAGGCCUGUGUCUUCCAGGUAGGACUCCGUUGCGUCUAGGGCUGAUUGCAGCGCGUGCUCUACUUAUGCAAGUGAUCCUCCCAGGCACCAGGUCGUGAUAUCGUCCGCGUAUAGCCAGUUGCCUAUAUUAGGAGGGGAUCUGCGCCUCUCCGAUAAGCCCUUCAUGACUAUGUUGAAUAGCAAGGGGGAGAUGACUGCUCCUUGGGGAGUGCCUCUGGCCCCUAGUGCGAACUCAUGUGGACUUGAGUAGCGCAAUCCUGAUGGUGGCUGUUCGGUUCAUGAGGAAUGAUCUAACAAAAGCCUGAAACUUUGCUCCCAGACCUAGGCUGGUCGUGGCCUGCAGGACAAAUCGAUGAGAUACUGUGUCAAAGGCCUUGGUCAGGUCAAGGGAUAAGAUCCCCCUAACGUCCUUAGUGCUAUUAUCGAAAAUGUGCUUAAGGAGUACCAUUACAUCCUGUGUGGAAAGGCCGGGCCUGAAGCCGACCAUGUUGUGCGGGAAUAGUUCCUUGCGUUCUGUGUAAUCCGAGAUCCUGUGGAGGAUCGCAUGCUCCGCUACCUUGUCUACGCAAGAGGUUAGCAAUAUCGGCCUUAGGUUGUCAAGGUUUAGGGGCUUACCCGGUUUCGGGAUAAGCACAACCUAGGCCGCUUUCCACUCGUCCGGGACGCAUCCGUUUUCCCAAGUCUUGUUGAUAUCUUUCGUUAGCAGCUCAGUUGACCUAUCAUCCAGGUUCCUUAGCAGUCUGAGAUGCCGUCCGGACCUGAGGCCGACCUGCUAUUUAAGAUGUGAAGUAUUGUUCUCAUUUCCGACUCCGUAAAGGGGUCAUCGAGCCCCGUUACCGCGUCACAUUCGAUGCUGGGAUACUCCUCUGAGCGUGCUGCGCCUAGUGGGAGAUAUCUAUUGGCUACCUCGUCUAAGAGCGUUUGUUCUGUUCCUCGUUCUUGUUUGUGCCUGUGAAUGAGGCGGCACAAUGUCUGUCUUUGAUUGCCUUUGGUUUGUGUGUCAUCUAGCAUGUGUUUAAGGAGAUUCCAUUUUCCCCUUGUGCGUAUGCGCCCAUUGACUGCUGAGCAGAUUUCACCCCACUGUAGCCUAGCUAACUCGGUGCAGUACUGUUCAAUCUCCCUGUUAAGUGCGGCAACCCUCUUCUUUCGCAACCUUCGGUUCAGCCAUUGUGUUUUCCAUCGCCUCAAAAUGGAGGCUUUGGUUUCCAAGGGAUGUGCGAGGUGCGGGUCCAUCCUUGAAACCUCGAGCUCGGUUUGAAUAGUUUUUGUAGCCUUUUCAACGUCUGAUCUGAGUGUCUCGACGAGUUCGCUGAAGCUCCAUGUCCUCCUUUCUGAGCUUACGGAAAGCAUCCCAGUCCGUCACUCUAAAUUCCCUGGCCUGGAAGGCUCUGACCUGAAGGGUAACACUAAUGAUGAAGUGAUCGCUGCCCAGGUUUUCUUGCUUGUUAUCUCAAAUUGUUUGCUCUACAUUUCUGGUAAGGGCGAGAUGGGGGGUUGUGUUUCUAGCCACCGACGUACCCAGUCGUGGGGAAACGGGGAUCGGGGAUGACUGUUAGCGCUAGGAGGUCAUCGACUGCCCGCGCUAGAUUUGUACCCUUAAGGCUCAAUCACACCGGCGACUUGAGGAGGUCGCGCGACCAUUUGCGACUCGUGACCAAAAAGCGACCGAAGGCGGCUGAUGUUCACACCGGCAAGCCCGGCUGAGCGCGCCGCGCAAGUUGCAAUCCCGGAGAUUAUCGUUCUCAGCGAGAACUCUCGGAAUCUACGCAGUUCAAGCGCACUUCGCUCGUCUCCCGGCAACAGCCAUGGAUUUCGAUUCUAGCGAAGUGGAAGACGUCGUCAGUGUACUGAUGUGCUCUGCCGUGGUGUCACUCCUGCCAGCGCGGAAGCCCCCGAAAAAGAAGCGACGCUGGUGGGUGCGCCCGUGCCUCCGUUCGCGAGAAGUGGCCGGCCACGCAAGCCGCCUCCUGCCCGAACUCCGCGCCCAUGACGAGGAGUAUUAUCGAGAGUAAGUUAUAAAGUUCGCGGUGUCUGGGAAUCGGGGCACAAUUUGUGUGCUUUCUUUUGCUGCUGUUUAGCUUCCUGCGAAUGCCGCCCAGCACAUUCGACACGUUGCUGGAACUGCUGCGCCCCAGCAUCACAAAGGAAGACACUAACUACAGGCCUGCAGUCUCGGCUCAUGAUCGCCUAGCCAUGACCGUCAGGUAAAAUGCAUGUCAUCUCAAGAAUAGUAUAAAUCACGUGUGCGUAUGCUUCGCAUGUAAAGAAGCCACAACACGAGCCAUGAACAUUGAUGUGAGGUCAAAGCAAGUCCUACGCUUUUUUUUUUAUACACAAACCGAUUUAAAUACACUUUAUAUGUUGGAUUUCUUUUUUCAUUAGGCUGGGGGAGAUAAUUAUGGCACUCAAGGUUGUUGCUUGCAUGACGGAGCAUGCAUUGAUUUCACGAGAAACAGCAAAGUUCUGUAUUGGCGAUUGGCGAGGUACAUAAUUAAUAACCUCUGAAUAGCCCCUUGCACAGUUGGAUUUGGGCAGUAAUGUGCUAUUAUUUUUAAAAAAACAUUACUUUGCACCACUUUGAAUAUAUGUCUCAACAAAUAGUGCUAGAAAAUACAUUCGCAGUACAGUUAUUUUAAGUUCCCAAGUUCCCAAAAGCUUUCAGGAUUAGGGCGAAAAAAGAAGGUGACUGUAUAUUCCUAUGUCUUAAUAAAAAAGUAUAUUUCAUCGACUUGACAGGUUCUUGGCCACAGGAGAGACGCAGCGGGACAUGUCGUUCAACUUCCUCUGUAUCUUCAGCAUCCGCAAGGAGCUGAUAUGAAUGGUUUAAGGUUCCUGUACAUGGAAAUUGGCCACAGUGGCAGCGAGAGUGACGGCGGCAUUUUUUCACGGUCCACUCUACAGAAAGAUUACCAGAGGGACAUUAGGGCUGCCACCGCCAAGACCUGUUGGGAGUGAGGGGCUUCUCCCAUACUUCCUUGUUGGCGAUGAGGCCUUGCCGCUCAAGGAAUAUACAUGAUGUGGCCAUACCCACGGCGGACACUGCAUGAAGACUCACGCGAGACGUACAAGCGGCGAGUUUUCAACUACCGCUUGAGCAGGGCCCGGCGAGUCAUCGAAAACGUCUUUGGAAUCCUGGCACAACGGUGGAGAACUCUGCUGCGACCGUUCAAAGCCAAGACCGACAAUAUUAGUAGAUAUGUGGGAGCCUGCAUAGUGCUGCACAAUUUUUUGAUGAAGGAGUCAUCAGCCUCUUCUGCUGCAUACUGUCCGCCAGGUUCUGCUGACAGCGAGGACUGGGAAGGGCGACUUUCCCCUGGCAGCUGGAAGGAGGAGGAAUCAGCCGGUGGUGCCCUCUUGCCAUCAAAGUCUACUGGGUGUCACGCUGCUCGGUAGGCGAAAGAAGUUCGGGACACACUGGCACACCACUUCAUCACAGCCGGCCAAGUUCCCUGGCAAGAUAGUGUGUUGUCAAAUAAGUUUAUUCAUAACAAACGUUUGCAUUCUACAUAGGAAUUUCUUGUGCAAAAAAUGUCACAAAUGCACAGGGAAACAAGCAAUGGGAGUGUCAUAGGAAGUUAAUCCUUGAAAUUAAAAUAUCACAUAUGUCUUACCUGCACACAUAACAGUAUUGCAUAUUCAUCUAUGUUUGACAAAGGCACACGUGCACAAAUAUCACAAUGACACCUCGAAUACAAGGCAAUAAUUGGUAAAAAAAAGUUGGUACAGUUGCAGUAGCAGCUUAAAAUAUUCCUUAAUAUUUCUGACUGUGUGGUGAUAAUACAACUACAAAGCUCACCACAGAUCACUGCAAAAGGUUACUGUAAGGCACUGUUUAAAAAAAAAAGUUUUCACAAUACUAAAGAAAAGUAUGAGGAAAAUACAAAAAAUAACCUAAAAAUAUGCUGAUGAUAAUGACUAGAAUAUGCACCAGCAUCCGAGGUAAAUGUUCCUUUUAAUUGCUGGUGUUCCUAUUUUCCACUUCUGUCUGAUAUAUCAUUGACUCCAUCAGGUGCAUCAGGUCUUGCGCUACAUGAAUUGGCAGUGCCCGCAGGCGCGCAUGAGUUCUCAGCGCAAAAUACGCAAUGUCGUCCCUUUUGUUUGCGGUUUCGUGCUCCCUUAGUUGCACUAGAUGCUCCAUACAGGCUUGCGCAACAGCCUCGUUGCUUGAGCUCUCACCUGCAUGGUUGUAGAGGAAGUAUGUCAUCUUGGAUGCAUCAAUACUCAUGCUCCAGGCGCACUAUUUCUUGCUAUUUCUUGCACUUGGUGGCAUGCGUAGCUUUGUUGCCGAAAUGUAGCUUAAAUUUUUGUAGAUUUAUGUUCGGUAAACAUUACACGUCUCUCACCUCGAACCUUCAGUUUGUUUGCGAUUCCUCGAUGUCCUCGGGCUGCAGGCAGUAAAGCGUAGUGUGUUAGGUUGUACAAAAAAAAGCAUUCUUGCAACCACUUCAAAGGGUUUCUUAUUGGUAGAAAAUUGAAAACAUUGCUCACAUACCGUUUCGGUGGUGGCACCUCUACUGUUUCCACAGGUGUUUGUUCUGUGGUAUCUCUGCAAAAUCAACCACUAUUACAGCACAGCAGGCAGUAAGCAUAGCGUGUUAUGUUGUACAAGAAUGAUGUCAUGCAAGAAUUAUUAAGCGUUGCUGAUUGCUGGAACUUUUAUCAUCUUUGCUCACAUUAGCGCUGAUAGUAUCUGCGCUGGCUCCUCUCCUAUGUCUUCUCUGUAAUCUCUGCAAAAGAAA